rnacentral:rRNA from 1 species
AUGAUUGUACACCUCCUAUUCCCUCUUAAUUGUGUGUUCAUUUUGUUAAUCAAGAAGCAUCUGAUUUUAUGGCUGGAUACGUUGAAAAUAUAUAAAACCAUUCUUCUUUCGAUAAUUUAUUUCCCUUUGACCAAUCUUUGUUACUUGCCUACAUAUCUAUGCAUAGCAUGCUGCUCCAGCGCGACCGCUUCGUGUGCUGCCUCGAGUCGCGGCGCCACUACGCCCGCGCAGAGGCGGAGGCCGCUACCACUCUCGACGCCCUUUGCUGCGCGCUCUCGCAGGCGGCGUUCGCAAAGCCUUGUUGCGGCGCUGCAAGUGUUGCCCCCUCCUCCCCAAGGGCAAGGUGAAGGAAGGUGCCUGUGUGGUUCUUCUACACCUCGCAGCGAGGAUUGCUGUCUCCAACCUGCGCAAGAAUGCCAAGAAGUCCUUCUCGGCGACGAUUAA